ACGUAAGGAAACAGGAGAUGUUAGGUUCAUCAUUUUGGACCAUAAGAUUUCUAUCAUUCUAAAGACUGCACACAGGGCUAGAUACAUUUUAGAUAACAAACCGCAUGCACUUUGUUGUGCUUGCGUCACAACAUAUAUUCAAAAAAAAUUAAUGCUCUGCUCAAAUGUAUUUUUGGACAUUAAUCUCAACAAAAGGUUGAAACAUGAAAUAGAUAUGCAGAAGUAACACUAAUUGCCAAGAAUAUUUGUUGUGAGAUGAAUCUGUGACAACCAUGUCGUGAUAAUUUCAUACAAAAAUCUCAAAAGGCAAAAUUUAGGUGUCGUUUUGGACAGCACAAGUACGUCAAUGCCACAGUUCCAAAUUUUACUCCCUCAGUUCACAAAUAUAAUAGUAUGCUGUAACAUUUUUAUGAAUCGGAUGUAUAUAGACACGUUUUAGUGUGUUUGUUCACUCAUUUCAGUCCGUAUGUAGUCCAUACUGAAAUAUCCAAAACAUCUUAUAUUUAAUGAAUGGAGGGAGUAACUUUUAGAUAGUGGCCCGUGAAAAUUUAAAUUUUCAGUAAUGCAGUAUGUUUGCGCUUUUGCAACCGGACUGUUUGAACUGCCAAAACGUCUUAUAUUUAGGUACUCCCUCCGUCCCAUAAUAUAAGAGCGUUGUAGUGUCAAAAACGCUCUUAUAUUAUGGGACGGAGGGAGUAUUUUAUAUAGGAUAAUGAAAAUCUCAAAAAGUAUGCAAAUCAUCUACUCCCUCCGUCCCAUAAUAUAGUAAGUAUCAAAAAUGCUCUUAUAUUAUGGGACGGAGGGAGCAUAUUGUAUAUUUACAUAUGGAUUGAAAAUAGUGUGUUCCAUGGCACAUGCUUUUUUAUCAAAUGAAGUAGGCACACACCAAAAUUGUUGCACUUAGUUUUGAUGCCAGGUCUAAUGAUUUUAACAAAUCAUAUGCAGGCAAAUUUGGAUACAUUAGUUAUUCUAAUGCAUAUAGGCUCUCGAUCUAGUCCAAUAUAGAAACAAGCCGAACGAAAGAAAAUGUAGCAGCCCUAGCUCAAGAAGAUUCAGAUAGUAUGAAAAUUAUCCCUGUCUACUUUCAAUAAUUUGAGCAACUUCUCAAAAGUUCACCCGCAAAUUAGGAAUGUUUUAUUGCAGUAGUCCAAUACCAGUAUUCAAUGAUCGAAUUUCCAUUGCACUGAUGCGCUUGUGACAGUAAUUACUAAUUAGUGAAUCUGCACUGUGAAUAUCACAGCAUGUUUCUUUCGGUUGCUACUCGAGACAAACAUCGCCACAAACACUACAGCUGGAUUCAUAACAGUUUAGUCAAAGUUUACGAGUAAAUUUAUAUUCUCGGUCCACAGUGCAAAACUAACUGCCACUUGGAUGAUACUAGUGACAGCCACUACAACUAUACUAGUAACAAUAGGCUGGACCAACAUGACCAUUUAUAGAAAGCUUGUGAGAAUAGGGAAAAAAACACGUAGCAAUCUCUAUGUUAUUUCGAAAGCCGUUAUCCAUAAUCAGCAAAGCUGGUAAUGUUAAAUGAACUCAAUAUUAAGUAUUUAAACUGUAUCUUGCAAUUUCCAAUGAGGGCAUUUUAUAGUAGUUUAGAGUUUAACAAACAAAUGAACUGGAGCCCCAGAAGAUAACUGCUAACUAAGUUUAACAGAAUAGUUAAAGGCUGAUACAUGUUCGAGUAUAAGCAUUGUAAUAUGUGACCACUGUAAUGUAUAACUUGGACAAACUCAUCCCAAAUAAGCAUUGUAGAAGUACUAAAAUCCAACUUGUAGAAAAAAGAGUGCCAUAUUUUUUGUUGUAAAAAUUAAAUCAUUUUCAAACAUUUCUAGUUGGAAAAGCAAGAGUCCAUAGCAGUAUAUUACAGCAGAAACACAUGGGAAAUGAAUUAUAACUUAAAUACAAUCUAUACUUAAAAUCAUGUGAUGGACUUGACACAUGACACCACUAUUCAAGGCAAGUGAUUCACACCAAAUAUCCCCAUUUUCAAUGGGUGUUUGGGGAUUGUGCCUUAGGCCACACUAGCCUUGCCGGAACGUUGCCAGGAGCGAGCCUGGAGCAUGUUUGGUUACCACCCUAGUUUGCUCCCCACCAGGCGCAGGCCACCAAUAACAGACACCUGGGGGCAUGCACCUUCCUCUUUUCUGAUGGCAUUUCCUCCAGCUAAUCACACAGAUGAACUUUUCUCCUCCUUCGGAACUAGUCGCAGAUGCGAACACCAAAGUCCCACCAAAAUGAGCCGUCGCAAAUGCAAUUCAGGGGGCGUCAGAGUUAAGAAGCCCCUAUCAGAAUCGCUGGCCCACUGCCGGUGCAGAUGCAAUGGAGCCACUGCAGGUCGAAAUCAGGCAUCUGUGUUUGCAACUGACGAGCCAUGAGUCGCAACUCUGCAAGAAAACGACUGUGAUCCUUGGUGAAGCAGAUAUCAGUGGCCGGUCUUGUUGUACUCACCCGCUCAUGCUGGCUUUGUCCAGAGGCGGGCAGAGGAGAGGUAUCCAUGCUCCAACGAUACGUCGGAUGCGUCAAGAAGCUACCUGAUGAGGAGCGCUACCACAGGAGAUAUCAAUUUAAACUACAGCUUUCUUUCUUUCGUGAAAGAAACAUGUCAUGUGGUUUCGCUAUCUAUUGUACGUGCACUUCGCAUGGUUACGCUUCCUCACCAACAACACAUAGUUAUGCUCUUUACGUGUUUUUCUCAGGAAAGAACUCUAAUCGAACACCACAGCUUCAACAGCGCAGGACUAAGCAAAAAUCAUUUGAUUUUGGGGCUACCUUUAGGCACCUAUUUUUACCAGCCAUGGAGUUGCAUGGAGUCCAGCACACAAACCAAACAAGCCAUAAGACCAUACGCAAACUUCUUUGACUUUCUAGAAAUUAUCAAGAUGCCUCUUUUAUUGAAAAGGAAUGAUUAUUUCUUUCACUAAUAUACCGUAAAUUAUUACGUGUCAUAGAUGAUUUAAGAUAUAUGAACCUUCUCAGCUAAAUAAUCUGCAUCAUUGCAUGGCAAUCCAAUAAUAUACUUGUGGUCCUACCUACUCCACGAGCAUGUAAGGUAAGUUACUGCAUCAUGUCUUACCUAUGACCAAGAGCAAGGUCAUCCUCUAGGCUCUAGCAUAUCCAUUUUAUUUCUAAGCUACAAGCUGAAAACAAUAAUACAAGACUGGUAUGCAUGAUGCCUGCUGUUUGUGGCAUAGGUGGUUUCAAAUAGUAAAUUUUGCAGCCAUCAAACCAUCACAUUCUGGUUCUUCUUACUUCUUUCAAAGGUGCACAUGACCCGAACGUCGUGAACGUGAUAAACUCUUGCGGCACGCGCUGCAACCACUUUGACACGUCUACCUUCGCCAUUCAGGAAGGAUCACCUGUGCUGGGGAGGAAGUGGGAACGGAACCGUCCAGACUUCCGCGUCGGGGUGGAAGGAGGACUGAGGCCGGAGCCUGCUUACUGCUUACCUACAAAGCACGGACACGGUUGGAAGUGCCGAACUGCCGUUCUGAUACGGCGGGAUACAGGGAUACGGCGGGAUAUGCCGGGAUACGCGAACUUUGCAGUAUCCCCCGAAUUUCGAUUUUAAAAAUAGAAAAAAACACAGGGAUACGCCGGGACACGUGCGGAAUACGUUUGGGACACAGCCUGGCCCAAAACAGCCUCGGCCCAACCCAGUAUACCUAACCUAUUUUGCAGGAACUCCCGCACGCUCUCGUCUCAAGGACGAGGUGAACCCUCCCAGCCUCCCAGGUCACACUGGAACGCGCCGCCAGCCUCCUGGAUCGAAGCCACCGCCGCCUGGACUCGUCGCCGCUGGAUUCGAUCGGCGACCGCUGGUGCUACUCCCAGCCACGCAGAUGGAUGCAGCUUGCAAUGACAACAUGACAUGGGGGGAUGAGGAACAAUCAAUCAUCACUUGAUAAAAGAGACACCAAAUGGGGCACUAUUCUCUAUUAUGAUCUCUUUCUCAUUAAUUUUCUGUCUUAAUUGUAUAUUGUAUGGCAUAUUUUUAUUUUAUUUUAUAUAUACUCACCGUAUCCCCGAAUGGCUGUUUUUGAAAAA